GUCUAUUGCAUAAUUUGCUGUCUUAUAGAAUAAUAAAUAUAAUAUUUAUUUCCUAAGUUUUUUUUACCUUUUAAUCCUUGAUAUAAAUCCUUCUCCAGUUAUUAUUCAAUAAUCAUGAAAAUAGUGAAAAAGUCCCUUGAUGCAGUAAAUCGCAAUAUCAAUUUACUCGUUUUUUUGACGGGAUUUAUUGGUGUACACGUAUUAUGGAAGAAAAUUCAGGAACAUCCAAUGGUAAACAAAGGAGGAAAGCCUCGGGAUUAUCCAAUAGUUGAUCUGUACAAUCACAUUAAACGUAGAUUUGAAUGAUCACAUUCUUUUCAUCUUAAGCAUUAUCGUAAGGAUUUCAUUCAAAUAUAUUUAAUGGGUCGUAAAAAAUCCACCCUUCGAGUCGUUGUAGUAACUAAAGUUAGUCACUUUGAGUUAGAGAAAAUGACGAUUGGAUCAAUUUCAUAUUCUUUUGAUGAGGACAGAAUUAUCCAAAGUGGUUUUAAAAAAAACACAACUAUAAUUGUUUAGUAAUGUAAUCUACCUAGUGAAAUUUCAUGAUAUGGAUAACAAUAUUUCCAGUAUUUAUUCGAUCGGAACGGAGUAGUUUGAAGUUUUCAACAGAGAUAUCGUCUACCUCAUCUCAGCUACUUUUUCUAUGUUAUUGUUGUAGCUAGACGAUAAUUGUGCUUCUUUUUUUUAGAUGUGAAGCUAAGGCAAAAAUGCAUUAUAAUAAUCUAUAAAUAUUUAAAACUAGUUUAUUAUUUUAUAAAUUAACAUAUUACAUUAACGAAUAAAUAAACCUUAUUGAUGCAAAAAA
rnacentral:lncRNA from 1 species